rfam:Macrostomum lignano unitig_39517, whole genome shotgun sequence.
UAUCUGGUUGAUCCUGGCCAGUAGUCAUAUGCUUGUCUCAAAAGAUUAAGCCAUGCAUGUCUAAGUACAAACCUUAAUACGGUGAAACCGCGAAUGGCUCAUUAAAUCAGCUAUGGUUCCUUAGAUCGUCUCAUCCUACUCUCGAUAACUGUGGAAAAUCCUAGAGCUAAUACGUGCUUACAAGCCCUGACCUCCACGGGAGGGCGCAUUUAUUAGAUCAAAACCAAUCGGGGCUUGCCCCGUCUGCUUGGUGACUCUGGAUAAAUUUUGUGCUGAUUGGCAUGGCCUCUGGCGCUGGCGACGUAUCUUUCAAGUGUCUCGCCCUAGUCACUUACGAUGGUAGGUGAUGGUAUGCGCUACAUGGUUAUAACGGUAACGGGAAUCAGGGUUCGAUUCCGGAGAGGGAGCUGAGAAACGGCUACCACAUCUAAGGAAGGGAGCAGCAGCGCGCAAAUUACCCACUCCCAGCACGGGGAGGUAGUGACGAAAAUAACCGGAUACUUUGAGGACUCUUUUGAGGCCGUAAUUGGAAUGAGUACACUUUAAAUCCGUUAACGAAGUAUCUAUUGGAGGGCAAGUCUGGUGCCAGCAGCCUGCGGUAAUUCCAGCUCCAAUAGCGUAUAUUAAUGUUGCUGCAGUUAAAAAGCUCGUAGUUUGAGAUCUGAGGACUCGAAUUGGUGGUGCACGCACCAUACGGUGUUACUGCCGAUUCGCCUACCUAGUCGGUGCUCGCUCUUGGUGUUCUUAAUUGUAAUGCCCUGAGUGCCCGGCAAGUUUACUUUGAAAAAAUUAGAGUGGCUCAAAGCAGGCCAUUAGCCGGAAUACUUCAGGCAUGGAAUAAUGGAAUAGGACUUCGGUUCUAUUGUUGUGGUGGUUUUCGGAACCCGAGGUAAAUGAUUAAGAGACAGACGGGGGCAUUCGUACUGCGGUGUUAGAGGUGAACUUCUGGAUCGCCGCAAGACGAAAACUGCGAAAGCAUUUGCCAAGAAUGUUUUCAUUAAUCAAGAACGAAAGUCAGAUGGUUCGAAGACGAUCAGAUACCGUCCUAGUUCUGACCAUAAACGAUGCCAACUGGCGAUCCCGAGAUCGUUUGCUUAUUGACCUCUCGGCAGCCUCCGGGAAACCAAAGUUUUUAGGUUCCGGGGAAGUAUGGUUCAAAGCUGGAACUUAAAGGAAUUGCGGAAAGGGCACCACAGGAGUGGAGCUGCGCUUAAUUUGACUCAACACGGAAAAGCUCACCCGGCCCGGACACUGUUAGAUUGACAGAUUGAGAGCUCUUUCUUGAUUCGGUGGUGUGUGCAUGGCCGUUCUUAGUUGGUGAGCCGAUUUGUCUGGUUAAUUCCGAUAAGCGAACGAGACUCUAGCCUGCUAAUAUACGCCGAUACCUUUUCGUCGGUGCUGACUUCUUAGAGGGACAAGCGGUCUUGAAGACGCACGAGAUUGAGCAAUAGACAGGUCUGUGAUGCCUUAGAUGGUUCGGGGCGCACGCGCGCUACACUGAAGGGGACAGCGAGUUUUUUCUGGUUCGAAGAACCGGGGUAAGUUCUGUUGAAUUCCCUUCGUGACAGGGAUCGGGGGUCUUCAAUUAUCCCCCCGUGGAGGAUUCCAGUACGCAAGUCUCACUUGCGUUGAUUACGUCCUGCCCUUGUACAACACCGCCCGUCGCUAUUCUACCGAUUGAAAUGGUUUAGCAAGGUCCCUCUCGGAUUGGUGCCGACUUGGUGGCAAACACUAGGCUCGGAUUACUGAAAAGAAGAUCAAACUUGAUCAAUUUAGAGGAAGUAAAAGUCGUAACAAGGUUUCUGUAGGUGAACCUGCGGAAGGUCAUUA